UUCUGUGCCGGAGUUAACGCAAUAAGUACCCCGCCUGGGGAGUACGACCGCAAGGUUGAAACUCAAAGGAAUUGACGGGGGCCCGCACAAGCGGUGGAGUAUGUGGUUUAAUUCGACGCAACGCGAAGAACCUUACCAGGUCUUGACAUUGAUGGACAGAACCAGAGAUGGUUCCUCUUCUUCGGAAGCCAGAAAACAGGUGGUGCACGGUUGUCGUCAGCUCGUGUCGUGAGAUGUUGGGUUAAGUCCCGCAACGAGCGCAACCCCUAUCUUAUGUUGCCAGCACGUAAAGGUGGGAACUCAUGAGAGACUGCCGCAGACAAUGCGGAGGAAGGCGGGGAUGACGUCAAAUCAUCAUGCCCCUUAUGACCUGGGCUACACACGUACUACAAUGGGAGUUAAUAGACGGAAGCGAGAUCGCGAGAUGGAGCAAACCCGAGAAACACUCUCUCAGUUCGGAUCGUAGGCUGCAACUCGCCUACGUG
rnacentral:rRNA from 1 species